GACGAACGCUGGCGGCGUGCCUAAUACAUGCAAGUAGAACGCUGAAGGAGGAGCUUGCUCUUCUGGAUGAGUUGCGAACAGGUGAGUAACGCGUAGGUAACCUGCCUGGUAGCGGGGGUUAACUAUUGGAAACGAUAGCUAAUACCGCAUAACAGUAGAUGUUGCAUGACAUUUACUUAAAAGGUGCAAUUGCAUCACUACCAGAUGGACCUGCGUUGUAUUAGCUAGUUGGUGGGGUAACGGCUCACCAAGGCGACGAUACAUAGCCGACCUGAGAGGGUGAUCGGCCACACUGGGACUGAGACACGGCCCAGACUCCUACGGGAGGCAGCAGUAGGGAAUCUUCGGCAAUGGACGGAAGUCUGACCGAGCAACGCCGCGUGAGUGAAGAAGGGUUUCGGAUCGUAAAGCUCUGUUGUAAGAGAAGAACGAGUGUGAGAGUGGAAAGUUCACACUGUGACGGUAUCUUACCAGAAAGGGACGGCUAACUACGUG
rnacentral:rRNA from 1 species